rnacentral:rRNA from 1 species
GGAUGAACGCUAGCUACAGGCUUAACACAUGCAAGUCGAGGGGCAGCAUGUAACUUAGCUUGCUAAGUUUGAUGGCGACCGGCGCACGGGUGAGUAACACGUAUCCAACCUUCCGUUUACUCAGGGAUAGCCUUUCGAAAGAAAGAUUAAUACCUGAUAGUAUGGUGAGAUUGCAUGAUAGCACCAUUAAAGAUUUAUUGGUAAACGAUGGGGAUGCGUUCCAUUAGGUAGUAGGCGGGGUAACGGCCCACCUAGCCGACGAUGGAUAGGGGUUCUGAGAGGAAGGUCCCCCACAUUGGAACUGAGACACGGUCCAAACUCCUACGGGAGGCAGCAGUGAGGAAUAUUGGUCAAUGGGCGAGAGCCUGAACCAGCCAAGUAGCGUGAAGGAUGAAGGUCCUACGGAUUGUAAACUUCUUUUAUACGGGAAUAAAGUAUCCUACGUGUAGGAUUUUGUAUGUACCGUAUGAAUAAGCAUCGGCUAACUCCGUG